rnacentral:lncRNA from 10 species
GAGAGCAGGCAGAUCUGAGAAAUGUUAGCGGGAAAUUGGUAGCACCAGACAUUUGCCUGGCUGCUGGAGAUGAGUGACAGAGAGGAGUCAGAGGAUCCUAGUUUUCUAGCUGGGUGGCUGGAAGGAUGAUGGGGUCACUGCUGAUAUAGAGAAUACAGGAUCUACUGUCAUGCCACCCUGAAUGCACCUGAUCUCAUCUGAUCUUGGAAGUUAAGCAGGGUCGGGCCUGGUUAGUAUUGGAUAAGAGAAUAAUACAGGGUCUUCUCCCAGAAACCUUUCUUGCCUUGGGGAAUACUCCCAGCUUCACAGUAGGAUAUAACCUUUCCUAUGUUGCCUUUUGCAUAGCUGAUCUUAAAGACAUGCACAUGGGCCCUUUUCUUUCCU